rnacentral:tRNA from 1 species
GUUGGGUGGCUGAGGUGAUAAGGCGAUAGGUUGUAAACCUAUAAACGAACAGAAUUAGGUUCCCCAAUCAC